CUGAGCUAGGCAUUUAUUUUAAAGCCCUAUUGAAAUUUUGUGAGUGUAUUAUUGGGUACAUACUUAAUUACGAACAAAAAGAUGAUUCUUAGAAUCUGAACAAAAUGCUCAGUUAAGUAUCUGAUACAAAGCAUCCCACUGGCAACUCCAAAGGCUGUCAUUUCCAACAUAGACCCUCGACCUGACAAAUUUUGGCUCCAGAUCAUGUUUUUGUUGUCCACGAGAGCACAGGAGUGAUUCAGUCGUCUCAAGGAGGUGAAACCGUAAUUCUUCCAGGACACCUUUCGCCUCAGAUGGCAUGUGUAUUUUUGUUUACCCAGAUCUUGAAAGGUUGGAAUGAGGAAGAACUGUGGGCUGGGGUUUCAGUUUGGCUGGCAAUUGUUCAGUGUUCAUGGUUGAGAGAGGGGUUGAACUUUCUCAAGGAUCUUCUAUUUCACAACACUAAGUACCCUUAAGCCCACCAGAAUCAUGGUAAAUCCUGCUUCUUGCAGCACUAUUUAGGAAGCUCAACCUCCAUCCACUGUGGCUGUCCUCGGAGUAAGGCCUCCUGGUCUCCCGUGUCAGAAUUUAAUCUCCAGAUAACUUGAGAAUAAGAAAUAUGUUUCAAGAUCCCAAAGCGAUUGCAUUAAGAGUAAGUUGUCAAAAAAAAAACACACUGAGGAAAAUAGUACAUGUUUCAGAAAGAGAAGGGAGGAGAGUUUUUCUCUCCCUUAAGAAACCACAAAUUAGAGGGAGCCUUCAGGACAAGGGGGAGACCAGGAGUCAGAGGACCUGAAUUCUUCCGGCCUCUGCACUGUUGCUCUGGGUGUGUCCCCGUGCAAUUCACUUAGGCUCUCUCACACAGGGAUAACAUAGAGAUAAUAGCACUGAUCCAGCCUGUCUCCCAGGCUUAUGCUGAAGCUCAUGGGAAAGGAUCUUGCAAAAGGAAAAGUAUUAUUCAGAUGUAGUAUGUUUAUAAUUUUUAUUAAAGUCCUAACUGUUCUGUAAAACUACCAAGACAAAAUUUUUUGCUACCCAAUCGUUUUUAAAUAAGAAAUUUUGACACAAAAAAUAAUCACUCUUACAAUCCAUAUAUAUGGUCCUAUUUUACAUUACUCAAAAAGGAAGAGACUCUAUGAGCAGCGGUAAGAUUGUACACUGCACACUUGUGCCUGUUUGAUUAAAAGCAACCAUUUCUGCUAAGUUGAUAAGUUUUAUCCAAGAUCCUUUCAGAUUUCUCUUUGUUUUCUACACUACCCUUCCCCUAACCCAGUUUUAUCAACUUAAAAUAUCCUCUUUUUAGAACAAUCUGAGUUCUCUUUUGAUAAAAUCCGGCAGUUUCAGCUUUGCCAAUAGCCAUCUACACCUAGAUGACAGAGAUUAACUUUAUUUCACAUCCACUGUUUCCUUCAGUUUUAUCUCCCUCUUCCCUUGCAGCUCUCCCCUGGACUUCAAAGCAGCUUUGUGGUUUGUCUUGCAGAAAAAUCAAUGGUUGGGUGAUGAAAAGAGGCUCUUGAUCUCCGCCUGCUGCAGGCCGUUCUAGUAGGCAGCGUCAGUGUGAGAGCCACAGCCAUUCUUCCUUGCAGAGGAGGGAAGUCAAUUGAAUACAUACACCCAAUACCCUUAUAAGGGCAGAAUGGUGCCCAUUUUAAAAAGAAACUAGUCCAUCGUCGGCACAGAAGUGGGCUUCAGUGAGCGUUUACUGAAUGAAUGAAGAUAAUCAGUGUCCACAGCAUAAAGCAUCAAUCAACCAUGACUGACUAAGUACUGGAUAUGUGCCUGGAUGCUGGGAUAUGCAGUGGGUGAUAUUAAAGAGAUGGAGAUGGCACGUCUUACGGGGCACCUCGGUGGGGGAGUUAUAUCUUGAUGCUCGGAUUAGCACAUGAUUCUGAUGCUACUGAACACGUAAGUGCCAUGAUGCAUCUUUCCUCUGCUGCUUAGUUAUUGAUAUUAGUUAAUAAGUUAGUAUUUUGACUAUCUAAGAACUCGUGGGCUCAGGUAAGAGGGAAGAAAUUUUAAUUCUCGACAUUGUUGCUCCCUUUCUGUUUCUGUUCUAGAAGCAGCCUAAUUGCUUCAUCUAAAACACACACACACAUAAUAAUUCCUUGGAACAAAUUUUCUGUUGGGCCUUUUAAGUUUAAAAACUACCUUAAAUGAUUGGAGCAGAGCCGCCAGGUAUGACUGCAAAGCCUGCGUACGCUGCAAGCACAGAUGGAAACACAUACAUAGACCACAAUAACAAUAGUUUCCCCUGGAGGUGUGCAAUACAGCAGCAGCCCUGAUUUGGGAGAAAAUAAAUAUUUUAUCAUAUUAUAAAAAAAAAUCUUAAACGGGUCUCUUAUUACAAACACUCAUACUAAAUGAAAUUGGAGCUAAAAUUUAGCAGGUUAAUUUUUUUUUACUGUUGCUCUAUAUUCUUUCCUUAAGGAAAAUUACUGGCUGAUUCUAUAGGAAUUUCUUCCCUAAGAAUACUUUGUUAUGUUUAAAUGCAUUUGUAAUGGUUGGAAGAGGAGUGACUGCACAUUUUGGGCUGACAGGUUGCUCUAAUGCGGCGUGCAGAACAGCAUGAGACACUGCAACAGAGUGUGGGCAUGAGACUCAUUAGAGGGACCGUGACUUUUCCCUUCCUGGCUGUGCAACAUGGGACAUUUAAUUUAACCUUGCUGAGCCUCAGUUUCUAUAUUUGUAAAGUGGGUUUAAUAAUCAUGUGUGCUUCACAGGGUUAUAGUGAAGAUAAAUACAAUACGGUAUGUGAAGCACUUUACUAUAGGGCCUGGCACACAGGACAGGCUCAAUAUAUGGGGCAGCUGUUACUCUUAAUGAUAGAAGACACCACGUGCCCAUGCUGGUGUCUGCUUUUUCUAAAUUCUCAUGCAGUGGUGAAACUGGGCAAGCAAGAUACAUUUUUUGGCUAAUAGAAGUAGCUUCCCUUAUUCUUGGUGUCUACAGGCCCAGAAAAGGCUAGAAAUAUAACAAAAAGGGAGUAGCUGCCAGCAAUGCCUUCCAGGAAUGAGAAAACGGCCAUGCAUCAAAGUGCAGCAAGAACACAGAAAGCAGCCUGGACUUACUGGGGCGGCAGGGAGAUGGUGUUGCUGAAACCUAGUGAGGAGUAGGAGUUUUACUCUGAUGGGUAGAAGAGCAGGGCACUGCCAGCAGAGGAAAAUGAAUGCCCAGCAGAUGAGGGGAGGUGGGGAAAGUGUGAGGGGGCAAAUGGCCUACCCCGAAUACUUCCCAGGCCUAUGCAAGGAUGCAGACAGAGGCCCUUCCGAACUGUGUGUACAGGGGAUUUCUGGAUUGGAGGCGGGGAUGGGGUGAGGGCACAAGGUCAAGUUAUGCCCAUCCCUCUGGGAGGGGAACUUGGGGCGAGGGGCUGCGAGAGAGCUGGACUAAAGUGUAGAGCAGGACCCAGAGCAGAGGCCAUUGAUGAAUUCUGAACAGCAGCCUGAUCUGAUCAGUUGUAAAUGUUAGGCACUCUCCCUUAUAGCAGAGAAGAGGGUUGAUUGGAGGAACGAUGGGGCAGGGGUGGAGGGUGGAAAGGUGGUCCAGUGAGGCUUCUGUCCAUGUGGGGGCAGAGGGAGGAGGAGGAGAUGGGAAGUUGGCUGGAGACCAAGUGUCUGAACAAAAGGAGGCCCAAGGGGCAUGGACAUUGAAGAUUAGAGACAGAAGAAAAUAAGGAUAUAGAGUCAACAGAACUUAGUGAUUUUAAAAAAGUGUGUCUGUGUUUGGGUGAGGGGACAGAAAGGAAGAAAGGGAAGUCCAGGCUGGCUUCCUGGUUUUAGGCUUCACCAACAAGCUGUGCUGAUGGCGACAGUGGCACUUGGGAAGAAUGGUGCUGAACUGCCUGGUGACAACCCAAAUGGAGGCACAAGAAGGAAGCUGGAUAAAUGAGCCAAGGGCUGGGGCAGCAUCUGGCAGGACGCUUUAGCACACUGGCAGUGGUGGAAGCUAUGGGGGUGGGUGAAAUUGACCCGGGGAGAUGUUAGUCAGACAGGAAAGCUGAGGGUCGGACUGAAAAACACCUAAUGAAGGAUGGGCUGAGGAAGAGAUCAGCAUAACAAGAGCGUGGAGUUUAGCUGAAGAAAGGAAUUGUUAGAUGUGUCAAAUGCUGUUGAAAGGUAAGUCAUAUAAGGAGUUUUAAAAGUCACUUUAAUCCAUUUAAAUAUCCCUUCCUCGCUGAGACCUUCCUUAAUCAUUCUAUUGAAGAACAUCCUUCUCCCAUUCUCUUUCAAACACUUACCCUAAUUUGUAAUUGGAUCUCUAUUUGCAGAUUAAUUUGUUAAAAUUUGUCCCCUCAACUAGACUACACACUGAAGAGAGCAGGGCCCUGCCUGUCUCUUUCUGUAUCCUCAGUAGGUGCUCAGUAAAUGUCUAGUGAUGUGGCUGAGUGUAAUUUCAGUGGCUAGAAAGCUGGUUCCAUUUAAGCGAGCCCCACCCACCCCUA